rfam:Sistotremastrum suecicum HHB10207 ss-3 unplaced genomic scaffold SISSTscaffold_5, whole genome shotgun sequence.
CUUUUUUCCCUGAUGCAAUCAUUACGGAUGUAAAUGAGACCUCAUCGAGGCUCUGUUGUCCGAGAGCGCAAAACCCCAUGUGGAUUUUUCCGUUGCCUUCCUUCUGAUCCAU